UACAGAGGGUGCGAGCGUUAAUCGGAAUUACUGGGCGUAAAGCGUGCGUAGACGGCUAUCUAAGUCGGGUGUGAAAGCCCCGGGCUCAACCUGGGAAUUGCAUUCGAGACUGAAUAGCUAGGGUACGGUAGAGGGAAGUGGAAUUCCCGGUGUAGUGGUGGAAUGCGUAGAUAUCGGGAGGAACACCAGUGGCGAAAGCGGCUCUCUGGGGGCGAUCUGACGCUGAGGCGCGAAAGCGUGGGGAGCAAACCGG
rnacentral:rRNA from 1 species